GGUUACAGCAUUGAACCAUUCGUUCUACAAUGUGACAUCAGUGCAGUGCAGGAGGCGCUUCAAAAUUCAUGGCAGUGAACAUCAGAAGCACUUGCUACUUACUGCUGAUCAAGCGAUGAAAUGAAGAAAGCUAUUUGGAAGAUGUUCAUUUCACAUAAGAAUGAAUAAUCUAAAGAUUUGAUGCAUCAAUCCAGGACAUACUAGGUGUGGCCAGGAUGUUUUGGGCUGUGCAGGUGCUUCCUGUAUUCACAUGUGGAGCCUGGGAGGCUGACGAGCUCACUCACAGAGCCUGAGGGCAUGCAGGUAAAAGCAGAAUUCAGGAACCAGGAAAACAAGAAGUGCUGUAAUGUAAUACAACCCUCUAUUCUGUUAUGACUCAGCAGAAUCACAAGAUUUGAGCUCUGGAGGUGUUUUCUGUCCAUCAAACAAACGAAGCCCACUCCACCAAGAAUAACUGGCUCUAUACCUUGUUUUUCUAACAACCUAAGCUACGUUGUUUCCAGUUCUGGCCCUGGAUUAUUGGACUCACUGAGUGACCUUUGGCAAGUCACUAAACAUCUCUGGACUCCAGUUUACCCAUCCAAACCUCAGGGGUCAGGUGAGUGAGAUCCCUUUCAAGACCCCUUUCUAUUAGGUUAGUGCAAAAGUAGUUGCGGUGUUUGCUAUUAAAAGUAACGUCAAAACCACAAUUACUUUUGCACCAACCUAUAUUUCUAGCAUGUAGCAUCCAUACCUCACUAUUUAUGGCAAAUUUAUUCCUAUAUUGAAUUCCUACAAUGCAAUGCACAACUCCCAAAUGCUACAUCUUUUGAGCCCUCUAAAUUACUUUAAAAUAGAAAUGCUGAAGGUGGCAGCCCUGUAGAUAAAAAUGUUAAAUACUCCAAGUCAGGUUGAACAAUUCCUGAAAACUCAUGUUCUUUGUAAUUUUUCGUUUUGGCUUUGAUUUUCUGGGUAAAGGAAAAAUGCCAACCUUUCCCUCCUCUAAACUCUCACAGCACUUUAUUUUUGUCUGUCUUAGAACAUUGAUUGCUUAAAAACUUAUUUGCACCUACACACCUUAAGUGUUUCCAUUAUGAAGCUGUGGUUGAAUCAACCAUCUCCUCAGUGUAUUCUUUCAAACUCAGUGUAUUCUUUUGCAGGGCUGCCAGAACAAAGUACCAAUGGGUGGCUUAAACAACAGACAUUUAUUUUCUUGCAGUUCUGGAUUGCUAGAAAUCUGAGAUUAAAGUGUUAGCAGGAUUGAUUUCUUUUGAGGCCUUUGUCCUUGGCUUAUAGAUGGCCAACUUCUGCUGUGUCCUCAUUUGAUUUUCCUUUUGUAUGUCAAUGUCCUAUUCUCCUCUUUUCAUGACACCAGUCAUAUUGGAUAGGCCCAUCGUAAUGACCUCAUUUUAACUUAAUCCUUUUGUUAAAGGACCCAUCUCCAAAUAUAAUCACAUUUUGAGAUACUGGAGUUAGGAUGACAACAUAUGACUUUUCAGGGGACACAAUUCAGUCUAUAAGAUUCAGGAAGCACAAGUCUCCAAUUCCAAACUUGAUCUUGUUUCUGUGCACCACAGUGCUUACUGCUCACCCUCCAUUCCUGAGAAGUUGCAUCUGUACUCAGCUGAUUUAUAGGUAAGGUGGGAUUCAAAAGUGAUAUUAGUAAUACAAGAAAUAGAAGCUAAUCUUUGCAGUUUAGUCAGUACUUAUGCCUAUCUACCAAGAUGUGCUUCACUCCAACUUUAUAGACUUUCUAAACUUUAUGGACUUUACUCUAACUUUAUAUAGACUUCCACUCAAUCUUUAUGGAACUUUGAGGCUCUAACCUAAAAAACAGAUAGUGUGUUUUUGAUGAGCAAAAUCAUUCUUGGCUGUAUGGCAACAUUUUGCUCUGAAUAGGAUUCUGUUGGUUUGAAACACAGCAUUUCGCUUGCUCUUUUGGAAGUAUAUUCCAUAUUGUUUACCUGAUGCUCAGAGGUAAAUGUAUAAAAAUGCUCGACCCUUCUCAUACCUGGAGAAAGCCACGAUCCAUUCAACAUGGUAUUUAAUUUCUGAUAACUAUGACAAAAGAAGGCAGAAAAUAUUGCCUUAACAGCUGUGUUUCCCUGAACAACCCAUUAUAGCUCUCCCAUCUAAGGUUCUUUAAAUCAUUUUGGAGUCUCUUAGAGAAUUUUAAGCCCAAGGAAACUUAAGAAAAAGGCUUCCAUAUUUUGAGUUAAAGGUAUUAUUUCAAUGGCAUUCGGGAAACAGCAAAUGAGUUUAGUGUGUUCAUGUUUCAACUUAGGUCCUACUCUUGGAGCUAGAAGAUCAGAGCUUAAGUCACAGGUAGGCUCAGACCUUGGGAAAUUAACUCCACCACUUCUGAGUCUUAAUUCUUGAAGUCAGCAAUUAGUGUAAUGAUUUUCUGCCAUUCUUAACUCUUGGAUAGUGUGAAAUACAAACUGACAGAAUUUGUUAUUUUUAAUAAGUUUAAAAGCAGGCUGGUCAGCUGCUGUCAUCUAGGCUUGCUCAUGGGUCUAUGGUCAGCUGUGAAAGGUCUAGGAUGAUCUCAGGUGGACAACUCAGCCCUGUUCCUUGUGUGAUCUUGUGUUCCAACAGGCUAGUUUCCUCAAAGACACAGGAACAAGAAGGAGAGAAUAGAAUCAAGGUAUUUGGAGGCCUUGGCUCAGAACUAGUGCCCUAUCACUUCUUCCUCAUUGCAUUGGGCAAAACAUGUGACAAGCCAGCCCAGAUUCUCCAGCCAGUGUUAUGUUGAAAUCUCAACUCCAACCCUAAGCCUACCUCUUUCUGGUCAUGAUCACUUCUGCUGGUUGUAGCCUUUAUCACUACUGCCUACCAAAAUUCAAAUUCAAAUAUGGGCCCUCCCCUUCUGCUAUGUCACUUUCCAUCUCUUCUUCUUCCGUUAUCUCUACAGCCACUUACUUCCCUACCACUUUCCCUGUCUUGGACGAAUAGGAAGAGAAGACUCCAUUCUUGACUAGAGAAGCUUCAAAAUCAUUUGAAACUGAGUGUUGACACAAGGCAAAAUCAGAUUGGGGCCAUUUUGCAAACCAUCUACUACCACAAAAAUAACUGAAAAAUUAGGCCAUGUUCCCAUACAAUUUGUGACCACUGUCUUUCUUAGGAUCUCCAUGUACACAGUAAAACAUUUUUCCAGGAUUUGAUUCUAGUUUCUUGCCCUUUUUAGACGUGGAAACCAUGCAGAUAAGCUUCUUACUCUGUAAGGUUACUAUUUGGUGUCUUCUAUCACUUCUAAUUGAAAAGAUACUGCAUUUUUAAAAGUAUAAAGUUUGGGAUGACUCAGGGGAAAUUUUAAGAGUUCCAUUAGAAGCCACGUGUGGCAUACUUCACAGUUGCAAUAUAAACACAAUGAAAAGUGUACACUUUAUUCUUUCCCUUCUUGAGAAGGCCAUUAUUAUUUCCAUUUCAUUGUUUUCAAAAUAAUUGAAAAUGGUCAAUUUUAUGUUCCUCUAUGGUAAACAUAUUGAGUGGAAAAUUUCAAAUUUAGCUAUUUCUCCUACUUGAGAACAUGAUUUGCAUUGUAAGUCAUUUGCAAUAAAUGAACUGCUUGGACUAUUAAACUGGAGGAUCUCAGAAUAUAUAUAUUUGUCAGCUAUGAUUUAAAUCCACCUUUUUUCAAAAAGAGAUCCUAGUCAUUUAUAAUAAAAUGAAUAUAUAGUAAGUUGUUUAAAAUAGUUACAGAAGCAUGAAGAAGAGGGAAAAGUGAAAACAGAAAAAAGUUCAAGCCAACAAAAUUACUGUAAUUUAGCAUUAAAUUAGGCUUUAUGCCUCCUAAUUAGAAAGAAACAAUUGAACUUCCAAGUCAGGAAAGUUCAAUUUAUUCUCUAGAGUAAUGCUUUUAUCCCAGGGUUAAUAACACAAUAGUGCCACAAAUAAUUUGCUGUUAAUAACUGUUAAAGUUGUUGAAGUAUUUCUUUUUUAAAAUAUAGAUAGAAUGGUGUUUGGAAAAAACUCUCAAAUUUUUUUUCUUUGCCCUCACACCACACAAUAAACACAGACUUUUGUGACC